CAUCACACUAAUUAUACUACCUUCACUAUAUUUCCUUUAAUUUAUCCCCACUUAUGAUGGUGGUCGAAUCUACAUAAGUAAAUCGGUGGGAACUCUAACUUAUGGUAUGUCUAUGGUGACGGAGUCCUCCAGGUGUUGAGCAUGCGCAUUUCCCCCUUAUUGGGUCUUUGAAUAGUGCGCCUGCGCUGUGGGGGUCAGUGAGCCAGGUGGUGUCCGACUGAAGGGUUAUGCACGACAGCAUGCCGGCCCCAAGCCUAUUGGUCCUGUACGGCAGCCAGACUGGCACAGCCCAAGACACGGCAGAGCGGAUUGGACGACAGGCUCAGAGGAGGCGGGUCCAAGUCAGGGUGGAGGCAUUGGACAGCUACAAUGUGGCCCACCUGAUCAACGAACCUCUGGUGGUCUUCGUGUGCUCCACCACUGGGCAGGGGGAUCCCCCAGACAACAUGAAG